rnacentral:rRNA from 1 species
UGGGGAAUAUUGGACAAUGGGCGCAAGCCUGAUCCAGCAAUGCCGCGUGGGUGAAGAAGGUCUUCGGAUUGUAAAGCCCUUUCGACAGGGACGAUGAUGACGGUACCUGUAGAAGAAGCCCCGGCUAACUUCGUGCCAGCAGCCGCGGUAAUACGAAGGGGGCUAGCGUUGCUCGGAAUUACUGGGCGUAAAGGGCGCGUAGGCGGCCGAUCAAGUCAGGCGUGAAAUUCCAGGGCUUAACCUUGGGGCUGCGCUUGAUACUGAUUGGCUUGAGGACGGAAGAGGGUCGUGGAAUUCCCAGUGUAGAGGUGAAAUUCGUAGAUAUUGGGAAGAACACCGGUGGCGAAGGCGGCGACCUGGUCCGUUACUGACGCUGAGGCGCGACAGCGUGGGGAGCAAACA